GGGGAAGGGGCACCGGAAGCGCAAUUGCCCCAAAUACUUGGCCGAUCUGAAGAGCGGCCACGUCAAAAAGAAAGGAACUGCGGAAUAGACGAAGCCUGGCAAGAGACGAGGUGACGAUGCGCGUUGGAAAUGGAUCCAAAGUCGAUGUGAUCGCUGUCGGCACGCUCCCUCUACAUCUACCUUCGGGAUUAGUUUUAAACCUUAAUAAUUGUUAUUUGGUACCUGCGUUGAGCAUGAACAUUGUAUCUGGAUCUUGUUUAAUGCAAGACGGUUAUUCGUUUAAGUCUGAGAAUAAUGGUUGUUCGAUUUAUAUGAGUAAUGUCUUUUAUGGCCA